rnacentral:rRNA from 1 species
AUUGAACGCUGGCGGCAGGCCUAACACAUGCAAGUCGAACGAGUGGCGGACGGGUGAGUAAUGUCUGGGAAACUGCCCGAUGGAGGGGGAUAACUACUGGAAACGGUAGCUAAUACCGCAUACCAUCGGAUGUGCCCAGAUGGGAUUAGCUAGUAGGUGGGGUAACGGCACACCUAGGAGACGAUCCCUAGCUGGUCUUAAAGGAUGACCGGCCAACAUUGAAACGAUACACGGUCCAUCCUCCUACGGGAGGCAGCAGUGGGGAAGAUUGCACAAUGGGCGUAAGCCUGAUGCAGCCAUGCCGCGUGUAUGAAGAAGGCCUUCGGGUUGUAAAGUACUUUCAGCGAGGAGGCGUUACUCGCAGAAGAAGCACCGGCUAACUCCGUGCCAGCAGCCGCGGUAAUAC